CCCGCCCCGCCCACCUCCUGCUACGCCCCUCGCGCCGCCGGCCGCCUCCUGCCCCGCUCCGCCCCUCACCACGCGCCGCCGGCCUUCUCCUGCCUCCCAAUCCCAUCUCGCGGCUUUCUUCGCCGUUCACCGCUCCCCUCCACCUACUGGUCGCGACCUCGUGGGAGGCAGAGGAUGGGAGGGUGCGGCGCUGGCGUCCGACUCCAGGAGCUCCAGGAGCUCGAGAGGGCCGAUCUGCGCGUCGGCGACCUCGCGGGAGGCAUGGCGUGGCGUGUUGCGCUCGAGACGAGCGGGCUCGAGUAAGGGGAUUGGAGGGUGGCGCCGGCGGGAUCGUGGACGGUGAUGGAGUGGGCGGGUGCCGGCAAGAUCGAGGCCGGGGAUGGAGAGGGCGGUCGGCGAGCUGGCGGCUGAGGAUGGAAGAGGCGGCGCUAAUUCGCUGCUACCCGCACCGCACCACGUCCCUAGCUUCCUCCUCUCUGAUCGAACCGAGUCCGUUUUACAAAGGGAUCCGGCGACUAGAGGGGAGCUGCCACCGGUGACGCUGCCAGAGAAGCUGGCGAGGUUCCUCCAGAAGUGCGCCGAAGGAGUUCCAGGACGAGCCCCGGUAUAGCGGCGACCGGUGGUACCUUCGCGGCUGGGUUCCAGAUGAACAGGCAUGGUGGGAGGGCGAUGCUCUGUUGACUGCUUUUCUUAUAAUAUUACAGAGGGAGGAUCGAAGUGGAGAUUGGUACUUUCUCUUUCAGCGGCCAAAGAAAAGCAACACUUGUUCAUGUGAUUUCAGAUGAAACGACCAGAGUGUGUAAAAUCUGGAUCGCUACAAACAGGUCAAGAAUAACUUCUCCAAGCUCUCAGAAGAGAAGCAAUAAUGUGACUCCCAGGUGCCUCUCUGAGAAAAGCUGGAGAUGCUUUGCCAGUGGCAAAACAAAGGGAAGUAAUUGCUACGGACGCCAGCCAGGUGUUCAUGCUAUUUGAUUAAUGUUUUCUGCUCUUAAUAAUGCUUUCGUUUUUCUUCUUUUAGAACCCUUCUUUUGUACUCUUACAAAUAGCAGAUGAAAGGAGAAGGAUGAAGAAGUCAAGCUAUUGGAGAGAUCAAUUGAGGAGCUCAAAAGAACUUUAGUGUUCUCAAAAGUAGCUUUAUUUAGUUUGAGUGAAUUUUGUGGCCUAAGUGUUGUAGCUAUUCAUUUUGCCACGCAUUCUGAAUGUUAGUACACACCCAUGUUGGUACAGAACUCCUAUUGUUAUGCCUGUUAUGACAACAACUUUCCCAGAUUUUUGUGCAUAAACAUACAUAUGUGGACUAAAUUCUUUUGUUACUUGCUCAGCCAAUACAUAUCUAUGCUUUUUUUUGCGGGUGAAUACAUAUGUAUGCUAAUAUAGUUAUUGGUGUUAUGAUAUUGGUUGAGUCAAUUAUACCAUUUACAAUAUUCAAAUAGGCUUUGAGUUUGGUAUAUGCAAAAUGUUUACAAACUAUUAACGUCUAAGUGAUAACUAAUAAAAAAAUAUGCAUCGUGCAUUCAUCCAUCUAUGGUAACUAUGCAAGCAUGCAUGACUAACAUUUGUUUUUCAAAUUUUCAAUCAUUUUUCUCAAGAAUUGUCCUUCUUAUCUCGGAUGAGAUAUAUUGAUGCAUUCCCAUAUUUACAUAUACUUCUAAUCCCUGAAAACACAAGACAAAUCCUAAAAGCAGUUACUUUUUGUAAUUAAAAUUGCUAGCAAUGACCUUUUUGUUUUACGCUAUUAAAUAUCUUAUGAUCUGAACAUCAUGCACCUGCCUGGAAACACAUAUUAGCACUGACUAGUGAAUUUUCACUAAGAAAAGAGAGCCUGAUUUUUGGGGAUAUUUUUCUCCCGUUGCAACGCACGGGCCCUUUUGCUAGUCUCUCCCUAAUAAUAAAGCACGGAUUGACUUUGUCGGGUUCACCGUCGCAAUGCGCUUUUUUCCGUGAUUUUACGCUUUCAGUUUGAAUUUUAAAACAUAUUCGAGGUGGUACUAAAUUUUGUCUCUGCAACUCGAUUGACCGGUACAUUCUUGUUUAGCUGGGCUGCGAUCCAGUUGGGCCUUGGCCCGUCUCUCUAUUCUGACCGCUACGUCUCUACGUUUCGUUAAAAAAAGUACGUUUUAUCCAAACGCUUUGCGGAGGGCGGAGCUGUGGCAGAAGAGGCGGCGCGACGGAGCAGAAGGGGCGGCGCGACGGAGCAGGAGAAGAUGGCCGAGAAGAUGUUCAGGCGCGGCGCGGCGGGCGAAGAAGAGUUUUGGUGAUGAGCUUGUGGCCACGCUGGACCAGCUGCUGCAGCCCCCCUGCGCCGUCGCCGUGGGUCGCCUGUGUUCUGCUGCUCCGGUGCCGGCACCUGUCCCUGUGCGGUGCCGUGCUCAGGAAUUUGGCGAAGAAGGCGACUGCCGUGCUUGCGCGCGAGAAGGGCGCCGGACCUCGUUGGCGCUGCGAAGGGGGCACAGCUCAGGUUGGGUACGCCGUCGGCCAGCGCCGGCGGCGAGCACGCUCCGCUGUGACCUGUCCGCCACAGCCAGUCCUCUCCCGCCUCCCCCGACUCCGUGUCCUUGUCCAACGCAAAUCAAUGGAGCUGCCGACCAGGAUUGUUGUUGGCUUCUAUAAGAAGGGAGGGUCCUCGGCUCGAAUCUCCAUCAGGUCAAUUUUGGACGAAGCAUCCAAUGUCGACACCGAGUUCGCCGCAGGAAGAAGCCCGGAGUUCGCCGGAGGUAGAAGAAGCGCCGAGUUCGCCGAAGGUAGAAGAACAGCCGUCGAGCUGUCCAAUCUCGCGUGCGUUGGCUACAACAGAGAUGGUGCCAAAGGCGGAGGGGCAGCUGCGCGGCUGUACGAGCUACAACAGCAGACUGACAUUUGGCCGGCUGGGAGAACCCAAUUGUAGAGGAGUAGUGCCGUGAAAAAGAUGAAGACGGCGCGAGGCACGAGCUGUGGGCAUGGUAGGCAGAUCCCCUUCAAGGCCACUGACUACAUGAGGGAGAGGUUGUCAGUUGGACAGAUUUGUCCUUCAUUUCAUUACUCAGUGCUGACCUCUUUCUCUAUUUUAUCUCAUUUUUUCAUUAGACUUUUUUAAGGAUGAUAAUAAUCUAUAAACAUUGUAGAAUGGUCAUGCUUCUCUUUGCAAGCUUAUAGCUUGAUUUACAUCUGAAUGACUUUGGCUUUAGUGU
rnacentral:rRNA from 1 species